UUCAAUUCAUCUGCAUUCCCUCAGAACUCAUCUGCAUCCCAUUCAAUUAAACCUCCUUCAAUCAAUUACCCUCCAACUACCGCCUUCAUCAAUCAAUCAGCAACAAAACAGAAUAAUUACACCCCCUAAUCGGAAUUACUAGCACCAUUCGAUCCCCAACUACCAUUAAACCUUUACAUCUCAACAACAAAACAAAAUCACCCAUCUCUGCUGUUGCUCGUUGUUGCCGGAGAGAGAAUCAUCUGUAAAAGUUGCUAAUUGUAUGCCAUGCUUAAAUUGUAUUUCGCUAUGUGCCUAACUUGAGAAGUUGAUAUAUAUAAAACUACAAGAGGAAGAAUACAAGUAGAAGACAUAAAGUUAUGCAUGAAGAGUUCUUGAAGAAGAAAUACUUGACCCAUAUGUUGGGAAUAUAUAGAGAUAAGUUUCUCUACAUGAUUCAACUACAAUUCUAUUCUUAAUUUCCAAAAGGUCUAACACUAUGUUUUUAUCCGGUGUAACCUCGGGCGCGUGGCCUUCUCCGGCAGUACAAACUGCUUCGGCUGUUGUACCCUGGGAGACAGACGCGUCGUCUUUAGUAGAGGCGCGAAAUCUGUUUUAAGGGAAGCGUGUUGAACACGUGCCUCAGCCACAACCGUCAACAUCAGUUUGUUCAUCUUUGCAGCCAAGAAGGAUCUCACAAGGAGACGCGGUUCAAGUUCUCGUGGCAGAAAUUAUACAAGAAGACGCUUCUCAAGCUCUUGUCAAAGACAACGAUUUGAAUCGAAUUAUUUAAAUAUGUUGUAUUUCAUAUUUAAUUUUGUAUGGAUUUGUACACGGUACGGGUACUACAAUUUCCCAAAUAAUAUGUAAAGAGGGUAUCUUUACAAUUUUAUAUUUAUUUAUAUAUUUUUAUUAUAAUUGUGACCCAUUUCCUACAAACUUAAAACAGAUUUCGUGAGAUUGUGGCUACAAUCUUAAAACCUUAUUUAUAAGGAUUUUGGGUUCACGAAAAAAUUUAUAAUAAAAAAAAAUAGUUU
rnacentral:lncRNA from 1 species